UUUUCUAGGGUUAGAUAGAUACUCCUGCAAUCAUUCUGAUGUCUUCAUUUAUGAAAUUGCAGAUGCUUUGUUUAUUAAUGUCGAUCAUCGUCGGCAGACCUGUUGUACAAGUUUGACCUGAAUUGCUUUAUCAGGAAAGAACAUUCAUUUAAUUUGUUGGUAGUUGUAAGGAAAAUGGGGUUGUAUUUGGAGUCCUUGUACAAGUUGGAGUAAUAAAAUUAGCUUUCAAUUAAAUUUUCUACUGCAGGUUCGUCAAUGGGUUAGCCUUUCAGCGCGCUUAGAACUCUGCAGGUGACAUCAGCUAAUAUUGUAGCUGCAGGUGAUUCAUCUGUCCACCAGGGAUAUCUUUGCCCAAGUAAGCCUCUUCUGAAACUAAGUUUCGGAGAAUUCGUCGUUCAUAUAGCAAAUCCUUUCAUUUGGUACGACUAGGUGAACUUUUUUCCUUGACUUGUAUCCUCAAAUUUACACACUUUCGUGAUUAUAACAGAUUAUCUCAACCGUUGGCUAUUGAUGUUUUAUUUUCUUAUAGUUUCUUUCCUUGCUUGAUCCGCCCUUUUUGUUAAAGAUGUCUUCUUUGUCAUCUACUACUAACUUACAGGUGCUGCCGCUCAAUCACCUGAACCAAUUGACUUGUGCAGGAAUUUGGAUUUUGGAUUUGGACAUUCAUGCUCUGAUCGUUGACGUGAUGUGGUUUCUAAAGGUCUCUGACAUUUUUAGGAAAAUCAUGUGGCACCUGCAAUUCUGCAUGUAUCAAACAAACUCUUCAUCACUAAUAUUAGCCUGGACUAGUCAUCAUUUUGGUCACGUAAAUCCUUGUUCCGUGCUUGCCGACUCUUCUCCUAUUUUCUACUUGUUUUCAUUACCGCUCUUGCGAGAAUGCAGUUCUGCUUUUGAGACAUAUAGCAUGCACCUCUAACAUGAAUUGUGAUGAGUCAGUCUGUACCUGCAUUAUUGAUACUGUGGUAUAAUAUAUGAUGGCGGUGUUCUUUUUCUUCAGCAAAGUAGUGUUUUCUUCUGUUUUCCUAUUAAAUUCAGAAGGAAAAGCAGGCAAUCCUAAUUGGGAAAGGAGUGGAAAUUGUGUUGGAACUACCUGAUUUGGUAGGGGCAGAAAGGGAUUAAUUUCACGUGCACAUUGACUACAAUCAGAUUCAGUGCAACACAUUCAGAAAUAGACUGUGUUUGAUUUGUGAUAGUAAAUGUCCUGUAGGGGUUAAUAUUUUCCUCGAAACUGGUAAAAGAAUCAAAUGUUAAAACAGCAGACAUGUUGUCUCUCCGCUCUUAUGUUUAAACGGUGAUGUUUCAGUGUUGUGUUUCAUUUUUGGUUCCUUGUUUUCAGGUUUUACAGCUUUCCUCCUCCCUCUACUCUACUGGGCAUUUUGGCAAAAUCAUUUGCUCUGCAAUUUUUU
rnacentral:lncRNA from 1 species